AUUGAACGCUGGCGGCAUGCCUUACACAUGCAAGUCGAACGGCAGCACGGAGCUUGCUCUGGUGGCGAGUGGCGAACGGGUGAGUAAUAUAUCGGAACGUACCCUGGAGUGGGGGAUAACGUAGCGAAAGUUACGCUAAUACCGCAUACGAUCUAAGGAUGAAAGUGGGGGCUCGCAAGACCUCAUGCUCCUGGAGCGGCCGAUAUCUGAUUAGCUAGUUGGUGGGGUAAAGGCCCACCAAGGCAUCGAUCAGUAGCUGGUCUGAGAGGACGACCAGCCACACUGGAACUGAGACACGGUCCAGACUCCUACGGGAGGCAGCAGUGGGGAAUUUUGGACAAUGGGGGCAACCCUGAUCCAGCAAUGCCGCGUGAGUGAAGAAGGCCUUCGGGUUGUAAAGCUCUUUUGUCAGGGAAGAAAAGGCUGCAGCUAAUAUCUGCGGCUCAUGACGGUACCUGAAGAAUAAGCACCGGCUAACUACGUGCCAGCCGCCGCCGUAA
rnacentral:rRNA from 1 species